GAUGAACGCUGACAGAAUGCUUAACACAUGCAAGUCGAUGGGGAAGUGGUGCUUGCACCCUGGCAACCAUGGCGGACGGGUGAGUAACGCGUAAGGGACUUACCUGCAGGACUGGGAUAACAGGGGGAAACUCCUGACAAGACCGGAUAAUGUCAUGGAGCUGCAUGGCUUUAUGAUGAAAGGAGACGCCUGCGGAGAGCCUUGCGUCCUAUUAGCUAGUUGGUGAGGUAAUGGCUCACCAAGGCGAAGAUAGGUAGCCGGCCUGAGAGGGUGGACGGCCACAAGGGGACUGAGAUACGGCCCUUACUCCUACGGGAGGCAGCAGUGGGGAAUAUUGGACAAUGGGGGCAACCCUGAUCCAGCAAUUCUGUGUGAACGAAGAAGGUUUUCGGAUUGUAAAGUGCUUUCAGCAGGGAAGAAGUAAGUGACGGUACCUGCAGAAGAAGCGACGGCUAAAUACGUG
rnacentral:rRNA from 1 species